CACCCUUCUUCAACAACGAUGGUGGGCACGGAAGGCAGAGAGGGCUUCAUGGUGAAGGUCCGGGGCUUGCCCUGGUCUUGCUCGGCUGAAGAAGUGCAGUGGUUUUUUUUCUGACUGCAAAAUUCAAAAUGGGGCCCAAGGUAUUCGUUUCAUCUACACAAGAGAAGGCAGACGGAGUGGUGAGGCCUUUGUUGAACUCAAAUCAGAAGAUGAAGUCAAAUUGGCCCUGAAAAAAGACAGAGAAACUAUGGGACCCAGAUAUGUUGAAGUUUUCAAGUCAAACAACGUUGAAAUGGAUUGGGUGUUGAAGCAUACUGGUCCAAAUAGUCCUGACACGGCCAAUGAUGGCUUUGUGCGGCUUAGAGGACUCCCCUUUGGAUGUAGCAAGGAAGAAAUUGUUCAAUUCUUCUCAGGGUUGGAAAUCGUGCCCAAUGGGAUAACAUUGCCGGUGGACUUCCAGGGGAGGAGUACAGGGGAGGCCUUCGUGCAGUUUGCUUCACAGGAAAUAGCUGAAAAGGCUCUAAAGAAACACAAGGAAAGAAUAGGGCACAGGUAUAUCGAAAUCUUUACGAGCAGCAGAGCUGAAGUUAGAACUCACUAUGAUCCACCACAAAAGCUUGUGGUCACGCAGUGGCCAGGUCCCUGUGACAGACCUGGGGCUGGCAGAGGGUAUAACAGCAUUGGCCGAGGAGCUGGCUUUGAGAGGAUGAGGCGUGGGGCUUAUGGUGGAGGCUAUGGAGGCUAUGAUCAUUAUAAUGGCUAUAAUGAUGGCUAUGGAUUUGGGUCAGAUAGAUUUGGAAGAGACCUCAAUUACUGUUUUUCAGGAAUGUCUGAUCACAGAUACGGGGAUGGUGGCUCUACUUUUCAGAGCACAACAGGACAUUGUGUACACACAUGCGUGGAUUACCUUACGGAGCUACUGAGAAUGACACUUAUAACUUUUUUUCACCUCUGAACCCUGUGAGAGUACACAGUGAAAUUGGUCCUGAUGGCCGAGUAACUGGUGAAGCAGAUGUUGAGUUUGCAACUCAUGAAGAUCCGUGGCAGCUAUGGCAAAAGACAAAGCGAAUAUGCAACACAGAUAUGUAGAACUCUUCUUGAAUUCUACAGCAGGAGCAAGUGGUGGUGCUUAUGGUAGCCAAAUGAUGGGAGGCAUGGGCUUGUCAAACCAGUCCAGUUAUGGUGGUCCAGCCAGUCAGCAGCUGAGUGGUGGUUAUGGAGGUGGCUAUGGUGGCCGGAGCAGUAUGAGCGGAUAUGGUAGCCAAGGAGCAGUGAACAGCAGCUACUACAGUAGUGGAAGCCGUCAUCUAUGGGCGUGAACGGAAUGGGAGGGAUGUCUAGCAGGUCCAGUAUGACUGGUGGAUCGGGGAUGUAAUUCAUCCUGAUCACUGACUCUUGGUCAACUUUUUUUUUUAAGAAAAACAAAACUUCAGUUUAACAGUUUCUUGCAAUAUGAGCUUGUGAUUUAUGCUUACUCUAUAAGUGGAAAUCAGGAUUGUUUUAAAGACUUAAAGGUUCCGUAUUUUUGAACACAACACGCAUUUAGGAUGUAACAGCAAAGUUGAGUAAACUAUAACUGUUAAACAAGUUUCAGUUUUUCUCAAGUUAGUUAUAUUGUAGGAUGUACAUAAGCAGUAAGCGUAUUUAGGUUAAAGCAGUUGAAUUAUGUUAAAUGUUGCUCUUAUCCCACAUGACAUUGAACACUGUUCAGACGCAUGUUGAAGGACAUGCUUUUUUUGUAAAAUUCAAUAUAGGAGCUGUGUCUACAAUUAAAAAUGAAACAUUUCGGCAUGUUAAUUCUAGUUUCAUUUAAUAACCCUGUGAGGCACGUAAGUUUAAGCUUUUUUUUUUUUUUAAGUUAGUGGGGAAAAUUUUGAGACGCAAUACCAAUACUUUAGGAUUUUGGCCUUGGUGUUUGCAUGAAAUUCUGAGGCCUUGAUUUAAAACUUUCAUUGUAUUGUGAUUUCCUUUUAGGUAUAUUGCGCUAAGUGAAACUUGUCCAAUAAAUCUUCCUUUUAAAAAACUGCAAAAAA